rfam:Ciona savignyi cont_35790, whole genome shotgun sequence.
GUCGUCGUGGCCGAGUGGUUAAGGCGACAGACUAGAAAUCUGUUGGGCUCUGCCCGCACAGAUUCGAUUCCUGUCGGCGACG